rnacentral:rRNA from 1 species
UACGGAGGGUGCAAGCGUUAUCCGGAAUUACUGGGUUUAAAGGGUGCGUAGGCGGCGAUAUAAGUCAGAAGUGAAAGUUGGCAGCUUAACUGCAAAAUUGCUUUUGAUACUGUGUCGCUUGAAUCAGGUUGAGGCUGGCGGAAUGUGGCAUGUAGCGGUGAAAUGCUUAGAUAUGCCAUAGAACACCAAUUGCGAAGGCAGCUGGCUGGACCUGUAUUGACGCUGAGGCACGAAAGCGUGGGGAGCGAACAGG